GUUCCUUCUUCGCAAUUGUUCAACAAGGUAGAGCAGACGCCAUUAUAAGUUGUGUCAGAAUCUGAAUAAAAGCUAGAGAAUCAGCAACAAUUUACCUGAGUCAAGUGUCUUCAAAUCAGUAGUUACUUAUCAGAAUUCUGUACAACUCGAUUAAGUAACACUGCUAAUAGGUCAAGCCACGCUACAGUCGUGUCAAAGAAAGAGUGUUGAGCACUUUGCUUAGUCUAAAAGCUGAAUUCAGCCACUCCGGGGAUGUACCCGAGAAGAACUCCAAUUAGUCAUGAAGCAUCUCAGCGUAUCAAUUAUCUCAACAGAAUCAGAAGACUUGGGGUAUAUCAUGCUCGCAUCAAAUUUGGUGAAUUUGGCCCAAGUCUCACCGAACCUGUAGAACCUGAAUACAGGCCAUUGCCCCACGGUGUAACAAUUGAUGCAAAACUAGGUGCCUACGAAGAAGGUUUCUAUAGCAUUGCAAUCAAGUAUCUUCCCCGUGAUGAAGCUGUUGCCAUCACCAACAUCAGAGUGAACGCUGAUUAUGCAAGAUACCUAAACUUCCUGAGAGGAUUACCGACUCGUGAGCCAACGCCAAGAGAACAAAUUCAUCCAGAGAUUCCCUUGCCAGCUGUGCUCCAGCACCCAACACCACGUGCACCAGACUACGUGUUGCGGAUCACGACCCGCCACCUGACGGACAAUUAACUAGGUCGGGCCGACUAGUUCGCAAGCCCACUAUUUUUGAUUUAUAGUAUGUGUAAGGCCGCCAGGGGUGCUGUGUUCAGCGUCUUCUUGGUGGCCGAUCUCGGUUAAUGUUCCUUCUUCGCAAUUGUUCAACAAGGUAGAGCAGACGCCAUUAUAAGUUGUGUCAGAAUCUGAAUAAAAGCUAGAGAAUCAGCAACAAUUUACCUGAGUCAAGUGUCUUCAAAUCAGUAAUUACUUAUCAGUUUAAUUCGACUUGGAAGAAACAGUAUGAGUUAUUAAAAAAAAAAAAAAGUCGGGUUUUACUUCGCUUAUGGAAAAGUGGGAGGGUUUCAAGUUUGGUUAAAAGAGGGUGGCGCCUUGAUAUUUUCAAGACAUCUAGGGGAUAAAUAACUAACUUCGUAGAAUUUGUAUGGAUAUGUCAGCUGUCCCGUCAGCUGUUUCAUUUCGCGUGGCUUCGGACUGAAGAUGGAUGCUCAAACGAACGUAUCUGUUCUUGAAAUUUCACCUCCGAUUCCGUGUGUUUUGAGCUGCGUCUUGUGAAUUCGAUCAAUGCAGAGUUGUUCAAGGAGGAGUAUGGUUUGGUUUUGCUAGCACGUUUUUCAUCUCCGUUAGUCUAAUACACCCAUUUUGUACCAAAGGUCUUCGGGAUGUACCUAAUGUACUGUGGUGGCUAAAGAAUCAUUCAGUGACGUGGUUCAAUCCAGGCCUUGGUUUUUUUAAAAAGUUAUUAACAGUUUUAAUUUGCAGAGACCCUCAAGGUACCUGAGGUGUUGCAUUGGCGUUGGAGUAAUUUGGUGACAGAAUGGAAUGCCACCAAUGUUAUGUUGUCAGUGUUAAUAAAACAUAUCCAGUAUCA